rnacentral:rRNA from 1 species
UGGGGAAUAUUGCACAAUGGGCGCAAGCCUGAUGCAGCCAUGCCGCGUGUAUGAAGAAGGCCUUCGGGUUGUAAAGUACUUUCAGCGGGGAGGAAGGCGAUAAGGUUAAUAACCUUGUCGAUUGACGUUACCCGCAGAAGAAGCACCGGCUAACUCCGUGCCAGCAGCCGCGGUAAUACGGAGGGUGCAAGCGUUAAUCGGAAUUGCUGGGCGUAAAGCGCACGCAGGCGGUCUGUCAAGUCGGAUGUGAAAUCCCCGGGCUCAACCUGGGAACUGCAUUCGAAACUGGCAGGCUAGAGUCUUGUAGAGGGGGGUAGAAUUCCAGGUGUAGCGGUGAAAUGCGUAGAGAUCUGGAGGAAUACCGGUGGCGAAGGCGGCCCCCUGGACAAAGACUGACGCUCAGGUGCGAAAGCGUGGGGAGCAAACA